GGGGAUGUAUAGCUUUGACGUGGCGUGCUCAUUAACAUCUGCAGAUCGUCUUUGACUAGAGAAGACGUUAAACAGAGUCAAAACUUAUAACUGCAAAUAAAACAGCAGAUACAGUUGCAAGCAGAGCUAAAUCUAUGCUUCUUGAGGUUGGUGAAACAGCUUCAGCAGCUUUUAGCUCUCGUGUAGCUCCACAAUACGCUACGCUCGUAGCGUAAACUGGCAUUCACGCAUCUCCUCUCACUGAUGGGAGUGUGUGGGUGAAAACCUCAGUCGGUGUGACGGCGUUUUGUCUCCUUUCGCUGGGCGCUCAAGACUUUUGAAAGGGAGUGUGCUGGUAGGUUUGUCUAUCUACCGCCAGUGCUCUACUACAAAAAUAGCCUAUGUCUGUAGAUGAUGUUGGUGUGUUCACACGGACGCGGGCUCGAUACCCGCCAUCUCCACCA
rnacentral:tmRNA from 1 species